CCGAAAUUUCUGUAAGAUGGAUGCACUAAAUGUGCACACCUGCAUGCGUCGUGACAAGUCAUUUGAAAUUGCACCUUGUGAUGUGAGGUUAACACUGCUAAGCAAAUCAACCUCACAACAAAGACAAGUGCACAAUGGAAUGGAUGAUGAAUUGGAGGGUGGAGCAAGCUUCAUGGUUUACUUUUUGUGUAUCUUGUUAUGUUUCUGUUUUUUACUUUUGAAGCAAAAGAUGUGAAGACUAUAGAAUUUUAUUAUGUAUGCUUUCAAACUCAAGUUAGAACUAAGAACUUUUGAAGUGGACAGUGUCAUCAUGGUUUGAAGUAGUUUGUCUUCAAAUGUAAAAAUACUCAUGGUUUAUCAUAUAUAUUGAAUAUUUUAGA